rnacentral:rRNA from 1 species
CGUCACCUACGGGGGGCAGCAGUGGGGAAUAUUGCACAAUGGGGGAAACCCUGAUGCAGCGACGCCGCGUGAGUGAAGAAGUAUUUCGGUAUGUAAAGCUCUAUCAGCAGGGAAGAAGAAAGACGGUACCUGACUAAGAAGCCCCGGCUAACUACGUGCCAGCAGCCGCGGUAAUACGUAGGGGGCAAGCGUUAUCCGGAUUUACUGGGUGUAAAGGGAGAGUAGACGACUGGCCAACUCUGGAGUGAAAGCACGGGGCUUAACCCCG